rnacentral:rRNA from 1 species
AACGAACGUUAGCGGCGCGCCUAACACAUGCAAGUCGAGCGAGAAGGGAGCAAUCCCAGUAAAGCGGCGCACGGGUGAGUAACACGUAGGUAAUCUACCUCGAGGUGGUGGAUAACCUUCCGAAAGGAGGGCUAAUACAGCAUGAGACCACGUCUUCGCAAGAGGAUGAGGUUAAAGCGGGUCACUACAAGUAAACUCGCGCCACGAGAUGAGCCUGCGGCCCAUCAUGGUAGUUGGUAGGGUAACGGCCUACCAAGCCGAAGACGGGUAGCUGGUCUGAGAGGAUGAUCAGCCACACUGGAACUGAGACACGGUCCAGACUCCUACGGGAGGCAGCAGUGGGGAAUCUUGCGCAAUGGGCGCAAGCCUGAUGCAGCGACGCCGCGU